GCCGAAGUGGCGGAAUAGGCAGACGCGCACGACUCAAAAUCGUGUGAGGUAGCCCCUCGUGCCGGUUCAAGUCCGGCCUUCGGCACCA
rnacentral:tRNA from 3 species